CUGAUUGUUCCUUUCCGUGAUUCUGAUGACGAUUUAUUAGAUGAAGUGGAUCAAAUUUUCAUGGAAAAUCCCCUGAUUUUGCCCCUGUACUAUCAUGUGGAUUCCGGAUUUGAGACUUCUUCCUCAUCAGCUCAUGGCCCUGUGUAUAUAGCUGCUUCGAAUGAACGAUCG